rnacentral:rRNA from 1 species
UAUGUACUAUUCUCUUCAGUACGAAAGGACCAAGAGAAUGGGAUCUAUAUUGUCCGACAAAUCCCCUCACCUACCGAAACAAUAUCAAACCAGUAGUAUCACAAUACCCAAAAACAGGGC